CUUGUUAGUUUCUUUUCCUCCGCUUACUGAUAUGCUUAAGUUCAGCGGGUAGUCUCGUCUGAUCCGAGGUCGGAACCUGAGAGGCG
rnacentral:rRNA from 1 species